rnacentral:rRNA from 1 species
UACGGAAGGCAGCAGUGGGGAAUAUUGCACAAUGGGCGCAAGCCUGAUGCAGCCAUGCCGCGUGUAUGAAGAAGGCCUUCGGGUUGUAAAGUACUUUCAGUCGUGAGGAAGGUGUUAAGGUUAAUAACCUUAGCAAUUGACGUUAGCGACAGAAGAAGCACCGGCUAACUCCGUGCCAGCAGCCGCGGUAAUACGGAGGGUGCGAGCGUUAAUCGGAAUUACUGGGCGUAAAGGGCACGCAGGCGGUUAAUUAAGUUGGAUGUGAAAUCCCCGGGCCUAACCUGGGAAUGGCAUUCAAGACUGGUUAGCUAGAGUCUUGUAGAGGGGGUAGAAUUCCAUGUGUAGCGGUGAAAUGCGUAGAGAUGUGGAGGAAUACCGGUGGCGAAGGCGGCCCCUGGGACAAAGACUGACGCUCAUGUGCGAAAGCGUGGGGAGCAAACAGGAUUAGAUACC